rnacentral:rRNA from 1 species
AUGUGAUCGUCUCUCGCAUAUCAAUAAGCGGAGGAAAAGAAACUAACAAGGAUUCCCCUAGUAACGGCGAGUGAAGCGGGAAGAGCUCAAAUUUGAAAUCUUGAAGGGUUUCCCUUUACGAAUUGUAGUUUAAAGAAGUGUUUUCUGUUGAGGUUUUGGUAAAAGUUCUUUGGAAUAGGACAUCAUAGAGGGUGAGAAUCCCGUAUUUGACCUUUACUUUCAACUUUGUGAUACACUUUCAAAGAGUCGGAUUGUUUGGGAAUGCAGUCCAAAAUGGGUGGUAAAUUUCAUCUAAAGCUAAAUAUUGGCGAGAGACCGAUAGCGAACAAGUACCGUGAGGGAAAGAUGAAAAGAACUUUGAAAAGAGAGUUAAACAGUACGUGAAAUUGUCAAAAGGGAAGCGUUUGACACCAGUGUUGUUUUUCUGAAAAUCAAUUAAAGAACUGUUUAUGCUAAGUUGUUUAGACUUUAUCAGCUAACUGUUUAGUUUUGAGCUUUUCUUUAAUGCACUUUUCAGUUAACAAGUCAACAUCAAUUUCUUUUGCUGUAAAAAAGCUUGAGGAAGGUGGCUUGAGAUUCGUCUUAAGUGUUUAUAGCCUCUUGCCUAUGCAGUCGGAGAGAUUGAGGUCUGCAGCGUAGAUCCUUCGGGGCUAAAUGCAUUUGUGCUAAGUUAUAGCAUUUUAUAGACAACUUGUUGACUAUGAUUUGUCUUGUAGCUUACUCGCUUAUGUUAUUUUACCUACGCUUAGGAUGUUGAGUAGCGACAUACGCAC